CCACAACUAAGGUAACGAGGCGCAGUCCAAAUCCAAGAUCCAGGUUACCUGCCCACCCCACUCCGUCUGCUGCCUCUAUUCUUCACAUUUUUCUCUCGCCGAUUGAGGUCAGAUGGGCGGCGGCGGCGCCUACCUCGUGCCUCCUGCUGCUCCGAUCCAGGCGGAUAUUGACAACUUUAGGAAGGAGAUGCCAGCUGACCUUAUUUUGGCUGAGGCAAACGAGGUUCAGGAUCCAUUCAAGCACUCAUGGUUCGGGAGGAAGAAGAUGAUGCAGAUUCUCCAACCAUUUAGUUUAAGUCUUAGUUUAGGUCUUAGUUCCUAUAAAAGGUUCGAUUAGUCAGAGGCUUAGCUGCAUAUGCUUAGUUAGAGGCUUUAUUCUAGAUGCAUUGUGGCUUGAAUGAAUGAUGAACAGCCCUUUUUGUGGCUUCAAUGCUUGGUGGCCUUCAUUUGGGUCUAUUUAAGUAUUUGAUUGAUGCAUAUUGAUUUGUAUGACUCUGAAUGGCUUUCCCUGAUCAAAAUUGCCGGAAGCUUAUGGCUAAGAAUUUCUCUA